AACUCUUCGCAGUUGGUUUUCUUCGACAUACAAAGAUCUUUCAUAACAUAACCAGCUAAUAGUUAUCGCUUUCAAGUUUUUGUUGGAUUAACAAGUUAUACAUUUUAAUUUUGUCUGUGAGAAAUUCAUAAAUAAAUUUUACAUCUAAGGAAAAAAGAUGGCUGUUUCUUUUUUGUACGGAGCAAUUACUGCCCUUAUCUUAACUCUUAUGCUCUCCGUGAUCUUCGCAGAUGAUGGUAAUAUUGACAACUACGGCUAUCCAGUACCUCAAAAUAGACCAGGAAAUGAACAAGCUGAUCCUUAUGAUUUCAACAACGGUAAUGCUCAGACUACGUAUGGAGGAAGCGUAACAUUCCCUGGAGGUGCGUUUCAAUUUGGCUAACAACAAUGGCGCCCAGAGAACAUUUUCCAUAUGAAAUAUAACUGCCCCAAAAAAAGUAUUCGAUGGAUUUCGCAAAUGGCUAACGUUUGGAGAAAGAUUUUGAAAGAAAGGAGUGGAUUGGAAGCAGUUGACCUUUCAUUCAUUUUUCAGUUCAUUUCUUUCAGUUUAAUACUUAGAGGUUAAUAUUGUUUCUUGCUUUGUAUUGUGUUUUGCAUUUUUCUUUUGUUAUGAAAUAAAAAAUUGAUGAAUCCGAUUGUUA